GACGUGGGGGGCCAGCGUUGCUCGGAAUUACUGGGCGUAAAGGGUCUGUAGGCGGUGCGGCAAGUCGGGAGUGAAAUUUCUGGGCUUAACCCAGGGACUGCUUCCGAAACUGCCGUGCUCGAGUGCGAGAGAGGUGAGUGGAAUUGCAGGUGUAGCGGUGAAAUGCGUAGAUAUCUGCAGGAACACCCGUGGCGAAGGCGGCUCACUGGAUCGCAACUGACGCUGAGAGACGAAAGCUAGGGGAGCAAACAGG
rnacentral:rRNA from 1 species